AACCUGCCGGUGGAUCAAUACUGAAUAUUAGCUUAUUGCUUUAUAUUUGGUGAUCAUCAACCCCCUGCCUUUAAAACGGUUAUAAUUGGCGUCUAUACGUACUGCUAACGCUCGCGGACCGUCGACGUGUAUUGAUCAGUAUGCAUAGCAUUCUUCAAUCUCGUAUGUAUACUUCAUUGUGUAUGUGUGGGUAUUGAUGGAUGUUAGACUUAAUGAAUAUCCGCUCCGGAUUUCGCCAAUAUCAUGUUUAUUGUAUCAAAAAACAAAGACUCAUUACUACUCCUAGUGGUGGAUCACUCGGCUCGCAGGUCGAUGAAGAACGCAGCUAGCUGCGAUAGUUGGUGCGAAUUGCAAACACAUUGAGCACUAAACUUUCGAACGCAUAUUGCGCCGUCGGUUUUUCCGUCGGCAGGUCUGUCUGAGGGUUACAAACAAGUACUUGCAAGGUAACGCUAGCAUGUUGCGUUAUUUUGUUUAGCGAGAAGCUCGGUGUGCUUGUGUGAUACGUGCUAGUGUAUCACACAUGUGUCGUCCUUCUCUGGUUUGUCAAUCUCAUUGAUAUACAAUCAUCUGAAUCACAAACACGUGCAAGUAGUGUUGGCUGGUGUUGGUUGAUGAUAUAAUAUCAUUUCGCAAUUGCAACCUCAGAUCAGUCCUGAUUACCCGCUGAACUUAAGCAUAUCAGUAAGCGGAGGAAAAGAAACUAACUAUGAUUCCUUUAGUAACAGCGAGUGAACGAGGAAGAGCCCAGCGCUGAAUCUUUCGGUCUAUGACCGCUAAGAAUUGUAGCGUAUAGGUGUGGCUUUCUACGGCCGAUGUAUACUCAAAGUCCCUUUGAUUGGGGCCACAGUCCUGAGAAGGUGCAAGACCUGUACGAGUUGCAUUGUGUUGUAGUCGGUUGCUCCUUGGAGUCGGGUUGCCUGAGAACGCAGCCUGAAUUGGGUGGUAAACUCCAUCUAAGGCUAAAUAGUACUGCGAGUCCGAUAGCAAACAAGUACCGUGAGGGAAAGUUGCAAAGAACUUUGAAGAGAGAGUUCAAGAGUGCGUGAAACCACUGGGAUGGAAACGGAUAGAGUUGACGAAUUGGGCGAUAUUCAGCUGUUUUGCGUGAGCAAAGUGGUGUACUUAUCGUCUGUGUGCGCUGAGAGUCUUGAUUGAACAUUCUAAACCGUCGUUUUUUGUUGCCCGUCGUCUCACGACGAUGGUGUCUUGGGCGUGCGGGAUGGGAUGUUUCGAUUAAGUAUUUUCGGUGUGAAAGUCGACCACCUAUCCGACCCGUCUUGAAACACGGACCAAGGAGUCUAGCGUAUGUGCGAGUCAUUGGGUGGUAAACCUAUUGGCGUAACGAAAGUAAAGGUCGUUUCUUGCGGCUGAUAUGGGAUCCGUACGGUUUCGAUCGUGCGGCGCACCAUAGCCCUGUCUCGAAGGCUUGCCUUGAGAUGGAGGUAGAGCGCAUGCGCUAGGACCCGAAAGAUGGUGAACUAUACGUGAGCAGGAUGAAGCCGGAGGAAACUCUGGUGGAAGUCCGUAACGGUUCUGACGUGCAAAUCGAUCGUCUGACUUGCGUAUAGGGGCG
rnacentral:rRNA from 1 species